AUUGAACGCUGGCGGCAUGCCUAACACAUGCAAGUCGAACGGCAGCACAUUCUAGCUUGCUAGAAGGGCGGCGAGUGGCGAACGGGUGAGUAACGCGUAGGAAUAUACCUUAAAGUGGGGGACAACUUGGGGAAACUCAAGCUAAUACCGCAUAAUCUCUGAGGAGAGAAGCUGGGGACCGCAAGGCCUGGCGCUUUAAGAUUAGCCUGCGUCCGAUUAGCUAGUUGGUAGGGUAAAGGCCUACCAAGGCGACGAUCGGUAGCUGGUCUGAGAGGAUGGCCAGCCACACUGGGACUGAGACACGGCCCAGACUCCUACAGGAGGCAGCAGUGGGGAAUAUUGGACAAUGGGGGCAACCCUGAUCCAGCAAUGCCGCGUGUGUGAAGAAGGCCUGAGGGUUGUAAAGCACUUUCAGUGGGGAGGAGGAUUGGCAGGUUAAGAGCUGGUCAAUUGGACGUUACCCACAGAAGAAGCACCGGCUAACUCCGUGCCAGCAGCCGCAGUAA
rnacentral:rRNA from 1 species